rnacentral:rRNA from 1 species
GACGAACGCUGGCGGCGUGCUUAACACAUGCAAGUCGAACGAUGAAGCCCAGCUUGCUGGGUGGAUUAGUGGCGAACGGGUGAGUAACACGUGGGCAACCUGCCCCAAACUCAGGGAUAACUCCUCGAAAGAGGUGCUAAUACCGGAUACGAACUAGACAGACAUCUGUACUAGUUGGAAAGUUUUUCGGUUUGGGAUGGGCCCGCGGCCUAUCAGCUUGUUGGUGAGGUAACGGCUCACCAAGGCUACGACGGGUAACCGGCCUGAGAGGGCGACCGGUCACACUGGGACUGAGACACGGCCCAGACUCCUACGGGAGGCAGCAGUGGGGAAUAUUGCGCAAUGGGCGAAAGCCUGACGCAGCGACGCCGCGUGAGGGAUGAAGGUCUUCGGAUCGUAAACCUCUUUCAGUAGGGACGAAGCGAAGGUGACGGUACCUAAAGAAGAAGCACCGGCUAACUACGUGCCAGCAGCCGCAGUAA